GGAGAGGUGGCCGAGUCGGCUGAAGGCGCUCGCCUGCUAAGCGAGUGAGGGGGGAAACUUCCUCCGAGGGUUCGAAUCCCUCUCUCUCCG
rnacentral:tRNA from 1 species